GUCUGGCCGAAACUCAUGAACUGUGGAAUGUGUUUUUCUUAUCAGUUGAGCUACGUGUGCCUAGCCGAGAGGCAAAAGGAAGAAUGCCAGCUUCCAGCGAUGGCUUUUGCUGCGAUCGAUGCUGUAACUCACCUAAAGCCACAACAAGAGGCGGAUAUUCUAAGAUCUUGCACAACCAUGAUGGGGAGAACAUACUUGGAAACCUUCUUUCCUUUCUAUACAGAGUAGCCUGGGUCCCAAGAUAACUGGCGAAUAGAGGGAGAAAACGUAGACACAGCGACAGACUUUGCAUUUCUAGGGGCAAAGAUUACUGCAGAUUCAGACUACAGCCAGGAAAUCAGAACACGUUUACAUCUUGGGAGGAGAGUAAUGACCAACCUCGAUAAAAUAGUGAAGAGUAGAGACAUCACACUGGCAACAAAUGUCCACAUGGUUAAAGCAAGGAAGCCUGAGCGAAGGAAGACAGACGCUUUUGAAACUGUGGUGUUGGUGGAAAAUUCUGAGAGUGCCCUGGACCGCAAGAAAAUCAAACCAGUCCAUACUCCAGGAAAUAAUGCGUUCUACUGCGCACUGGAGGAAAGGAUAUUAGAGGCAAAAAUGAAGUACUUUGGCUACAUAAUGAGAAGACAGGAAAGCUUGGAGAAGAUCGUGAUACUGGGGAAAAUGGAAGGAAAAAGGAAGAGUGGGUGACCAAGGGCAAGAUGGAUGGAUGGGUAAAGAAAACUGUCCAUGAAAUUCCCCCAAAUGUUAUCUUGAGUCUGGUAAAGUCCUAUCAUUUUGGCCACUAUCCCACAACUUGUAUACAUAAGCAGAAAUGAGAAAUUUAGAAGAAAACAGGCAGCACAAGCAAGCAUUAAAGGACCGAAAAUUAUAUCUGGUGCCUAUUUUGGGUUGUUUUUCACCUUAGAAAUGUGCAACUGCCAUCCAUUGGAUCCUGCCACAGUUAUUCAGAGUUAUAGAAUUAUUAUUUCAAGAACUGACAGUUUAUCUCCAGAGGAAUUUAGUUUAUUGGAUGCUAAAUCGGACCCACUCUUCUUCCCACUGGGUUUGGCUGGAUGACAUGCAUUGCUGUGCCAUUACCUGUCAAGAGAAACCACAUGUACUUUACUUAUCCAGGUCCAAUGGGUAUUUUUCACAGUCACUUGUCCUCUGAACUCAAUGGCCCACAGACAUGACCUUGGGCAAGGGACCUGAACAAGUUUGAGCCUGAUUGCCUGUCCAGUUUUCUCUCUUAGGAUUAAACCUGUUUAAACAUUUAAGUGUCAAAUCAGAAUCUGAAGCAACCUGUGGGAGAAAUAGGCCACAACUAAAGGCAAAUCCAGGGGAUUUAAACUCACACUUCAGUCAUGCUGGGCUAAAUAAUCUCCUGAAAAGGGGUGCAGUGUGGCUAAUGACCUCAAUGCCUGUCAGUUGAUAAUUCUACUCUGUGUUUUUUAAUUAAAGUUCCCCAAGGUGCUGACGUUUUUCUGAGGACUGAAUUGAGCACUUUUGAAAACCCAUUUAAAGUUUAAAAUCCAGAGCAAAUGUGCUGCCACCCAAAUGAUAUUAGAGCUAUGAGCCACUGCUCCAAUGAUAGGAUUAUCUCUGACAUGCGGGUUUUAUAAUUUCCAAAGUAACAAACAGGAAGAGGGAAUUAUUCUGCCAUCCUGUAAUUCUGUAUCUGGAGACUGUGUUUGUUUCCUAUAGGUUGCAUUUGUCAAGAUGACAGUCUUAGGUCCCUUCCCCCACCCAAACAAUUCCUAAAGCCUUGACACCACCAAGGUUCAUGGAGGAUAAUUAAAGUACUUUAUAAGCCCCAUGCAACCAAAUCUGUUUUGGAUAUUUUGCAAGAUAGCAGAAUAACUAAUCUGACCAUCACUAUUCACCCAUUUUAAGGAGGUGAUAGGUUCCCUCUCUCCUCUGCCAUCCAUGACAUUAGUUUUUUAAUAGAGUCGGUGAAGAUGUGCUGAUCAUAUUUUCAAAAGAACUGUCCUACAAUGGCUCAUUGCAGCUUCUGUAUUGACAAUGUUUUUCAAUGCUUUCCCAUGAUGAGUAGUUUGUGUAUUUUUAAUAUUCUCUGCAGUCUCUUCAAGUCUAAUGGGCUUAUUCAACCAUACAAUGAAGAGUGACCCUAUCAGGCAAUUGGCUACAAGGUUACCUGAUUGAGCGCAUGACCCUCCAAAACCUGUUUUCCUGAACUGCUUGAAAUUGCUUAGUUGUAACAGGAACUCGAAACAUUUUCUUUUCAAAAAGACAAUGUUUUCCUUGACAGCACAUUAUUAUUGACUCUAAGGGGUUUUCUUUAUUUUUGGCUAGACAAUGAAAAAAGGAAAUGAACAGCAUAUUGCAUUUUAUAUCAAUAGCUCAGCACACCAAAAAAUGGCAUUCAAUUUCAGUGAUAUUCCACAGUCAAGCAACAGUGGUGAAUAAGCAAAUUUUCCUGAAUUCAAAUGUUAAACAGAAACAGAGUAAUUGUGUUUUCACACCAAUAUCUACUCUUUUUUCUCCAGCCUCAUAUUCUGCCAAGUUUCUACUUGCUCAUAUACAUUAAUCCGUGUAGUUAUUUACUUUUCAACAUUUUCAUAUCAUUGUACACUAUGUAUGCUCUUUAAUAUAUGCCACUCAGUUCUACCAAUCCAUUUUAUCAGAUUCAGAUGAAAGGAUAAAUGCGCUGACUGAUAUAAUGGAAAUGUGGAAUUUUGGACUACGAAUGGACUGGAUAAGGACUAAUGUAUUUUAAUUCAAAUUAAACAAGAUGGUGGCUUGAUGGCUUCAGCUCCCAGUGGAGGCUGUGUGCAGCCUGCUUUGAAUGGAGUUAAAGUAAAUCUAAAGGUUUAUAGUUUUGUGGUGCCAAUAAAUCCAACAUUGGCGCUGAAGGUCCAAGUAGCAUAUAUGAUGCUUAUGUGAGGGUGAUGAUUCUUUGAAACUUUUCCCACUCAUUACCCUUUUUUAUCCAAUACAUUUUAUGUGACCCCAGAAAUAAAUAUAAAAUCAAAUAUUUAUUGAAAAUAAAUAAGGCUGGAGCAUUUUCUGCAGAAUCUGCUGUAAAUACUGCAGCUGUUUUUUGUGCGACGAUGAGAGAUAUUUGCCUCUUUUUCUGUAAACCCUCUCUGAAUAUCAGCAGUUAUGUUCUCUACCACAAAAUUUAAGUGAUGCAGGGAA